GACGAACGCUGGCGGCGUGCUUAACACAUGCAAGUCGAACGGAAAGGCCCUGCUUUUGUGGGGUGCUCGAGUGGCGAACGGGUGAGUAACACGUGAGUAACCUGCCCUUGACUUUGGGAUAACUUCAGGAAACUGGGGCUAAUACCGGAUAGGAGCUCCUGCUGCAUGGUGGGGGCUGGAAAGUUUCGGCGGUUGGGGAUGGACUCGCGGCUUAUCAGCUUGUUGGUGGGGUAGUGGCUUACCAAGGCUUUGACGGGUAGCCGGCCUGAGAGGGUGACCGGCCACAUUGGGACUGAGAUACGGCCCAGACUCCUACGGGAGGCAGCAGUGGGGAAUAUUGCACAAUGGGCGGAAGCCUGAUGCAGCAACGCCGCGUGCGGGAUGACGGCCUUCGGGUUGUAAACCGCUUUCGCCUGUGACGAAGCGUGAGUGACGGUAAUGGGUAAAGAAGCACCGGCCAACUACGUG
rnacentral:rRNA from 1 species